rnacentral:rRNA from 1 species
AUUGAACGCUGGCGGCAGGCCUAACACAUGCAAGUCGAACGAGCGGCGGACGGGUGAGUAAUGUAUGGGGACCUGCCCGAUAGAGGGGGAUAACUACUGGAAACGGUGGCUAAUACCGCAUACUAUCGGAUGUACCCAUAUGGGAUUAGCUUGUAGGGGGGGUAACGGCUCACCUGGGCGACGAUCCCUAGCUGGUCUGAGAGGAUGAUCAGCCACACUGGAACGGAGACACGGCCCAGACGCCUACGGGAGGCAGCAGUGGGGAAUAUUGCACAAUGGGCGCAAGCCUGAUGCAGCCAUGCCGCGUGUAUGAAGAAGGCCUUCGGGUUGUAAAGUACUUUCGGUAGAGAGGCGUUACCCGCAGAAGAAGCACCGGCUAACUCCGUGCCAGCAGCCGCGGUAAUAC